rnacentral:rRNA from 1 species
UACGGGGGGAGCAAGCGUUGUUCGGAUUUACUGGGCGUAAAGGGCGCGUAGGCGGUAGCACAAGUCAGUUGUGAAAUCUCCGGGCUUAACUCGGAAAGGUCAACUGAUACUGUGCGACUAGAGUGCAGAAGGGGCAACUGGAAUUCUCGGUGUAGCGGUGAAAUGCGUAGAUAUCGAGAGGAACACCUGCGGCGAAGGCAGGUUGCUGGGCUGACACUGACGCUGAUGCGCGAAAGCCAGGGGAGCGAACGGG